rnacentral:rRNA from 1 species
GGUUCCACACGUACCCAUCCCGAACACGACCGUUAAGCCCUCUAGCGCCGAUGGUACUUGGACCGAAGGGUCCUGGGAGAGUAGGACGUUGCCAAGC